UUUAUUGAAACUUCGGUGGAUUUAAUUUAUUUCUAGUGGCGGACGGGUGAGUAACGCGUGGGUAACCUGCCUUAUACCGGGGGAUAACAGCCAGAAAUGGCUGCUAAUACCGCAUAAGCGCACAGAACCGCAUGGUUCCGUGUGAAAAACUCCGGUGGUAUAAGAUGGACCCGCGUUGGAUUAGCUAGUUGGCAGGGCAGCGGCCUACCAAGGCGACGAUCCAUAGCCGGCCUGAGAGGGUGAACGGCCACAUUGGGACUGAGACACGGCCCAGACUCCUACGGGAGGCAGCAGUGGGGAAUAUUGCACAAUGGGGGAAACCCUGAUGCAGCGACGCCGCGUGAAGGAAGAAGUAUCUCGGUAUGUAAACUUCUAUCAGCAGGGAAGAUAAUGACGGUACCUGACUAAGAAGCCCCGGCUAACUACGUGCCAGCAGCCGCGGUAAUACGUAGGGGGCAAGCGUUAUCCGGAUUUACUGGGUGUAAAGGGAGCGUAGACGGCGCAGCAAGUCUGAUGUGAAAGGCAGGGGCUUAACCCCUGGACUGCAUUGGAAACUGCUGUGCUUGAGUGCCGGAGGGGUAAGCGGAAUUCCUAGUGUAGCGGUGAAAUGCGUAGAUAUUAGGAGGAACACCAGUGGCGAAGGCGGC
rnacentral:rRNA from 1 species